GUUGAACGCUGGCGGUGUGCCUAAUACAUGCAAGUCGAGCGAACAGACGAGGAGCUUACUCCUCUGACGUUAGCGGCGGACGGGUGAGUAACACGUGGAUAACCUACCUAUAAGACUGGGAUAACUUCGGGAAACCGGAGCUAAUACCGGAUAACAUGUUGAACCGCAUGGUUCAACAGUGAAAGACGGUCUUGCUGUCACUUAUAGAUGGAUCCGCGUCGCAUUAGCUAGUUGGUAAGGUAACGGCUUACCAAGGCAACGAUGCGUAGCCGACCUGAGAGGGUGAUCGGCCACACUGGAACUGAGACACGGUCCAGACUCCUACGGGAGGCAGCAGUAGGGAAUCUUCCGCAAUGGGCGAAAGCCUGACGGAGCAACGCCGCGUGAGUGAAGAAGGUCUUCGGAUCGUAAAACUCUGUUAUUAGGGAAGAACAAAUGUGUAAGUAACUAUGCACGUCUUGACGGUACCUAAUCAGAAAGCCACGGCUAACUACGUG
rnacentral:rRNA from 1 species